AGAGUUUGAUCCUGGCUCAGGACGAACGCUGGCGGCGUGCUUAACACAUGCAAGUCGAACGCUGAAGCCUAGCUUGCUGGGUGGAUGAGUGGCGAACGGGUGAGUAACACGUGAGUAACCUGCCCUCUUCUUUGGGAUAACGCCCGGAAACGGGUGCUAAUACUGGAUAUUCACUGAUCUUCGCAUGGGGGUUGGUGGAAAGGUUUUUUCUGGUGGGGGAUGGGCUCGCGGCCUAUCAGCUUGUUGGUGGGGUGAUGGCCUACCAAGGCUUUGACGGGUAGCCGGCCUGAGAGGGUGACCGGUCACAUUGGGACUGAGAUACGGCCCAGACUCCUACGGGAGGCAGCAGUGGGGAAUAUUGCACAAUGGGCGAAAGCCUGAUGCAGCGACGCCGCGUGAGGGAUGGAGGCCUUCGGGUUGUAAACCUCUUUCGCUCAUGGUCAAGCCGCAACGUGUGGUUGUGGUGAGGGUAGUGGGUAAAGAAGCGCCGGCUAACUACGUGCCAGCAGCCGCGGUAAUACGUAGGGCGCGAGCGUUGUCCGGAAUUAUUGGGCGUAAAGGGCUUGUAGGCGGUUGGUCGCGUCUGCCGUGAAAUCCUCUGGCUUAACUGGGGGCGUGCGGUGGGUACGGGCUGACUUGAGUGCGGUAGGGGAGACUGGAACUCCUGGUGUAGCGGUGGAAUGCGCAGAUAUCAGGAAGAACACCGGUGGCGAAGGCGGGUCUCUGGGCCGUUACUGACGCUGAGGAGCGAAAGCGUGGGGAGCGAACAGGAUUAGAUACCCUGGUAGUCCACGCUGUAAACGUUGGGCACUAGGUGUGGGGGCCACCCGUGGUUUCUGCGCCGUAGCUAACGCUUUAAGUGCCCCGCCUGGGGAGUACGGCCGCAAGGCUAAAACUCAAAGGAAUUGAC
rnacentral:rRNA from 1 species